UGAGACUCUGUGCGCGUGCAUAUCAAUAAGCGGAGGAAAAGAAACUAACUAGGAUUCCCUCAGUAACGGCGAGUGAAGCGGGAAGAGCUCAAAUUUGAAAUCUUCAAGGUUUUACCUUGACGAAUUGUAGUUUAAAGAAGUGUUUUCUGUUGGUGUUUUGGUAAAAGUUCUUUGGAAUAGGACAUCAUAGAGGGUGAGAAUCCCGUAUUUGACCAUUACUUCCAGCGUUGUGAUACACUUUCAAAGAGUCGGAUUGUUUGGGAAUGCAGUCCAAAAUGGGUGGUAAAUUUCAUCUAAAGCUAAAUAUUGGCGAGAGACCGAUAGCGAACAAGUACCGUGAGGGAAAGAUGAAAAGAACUUUGAAAAGAGAGUUAAACAGUACGUGAAAUUGUCAAAAGGGAAGCGUUUGACACCAGUGUUGUUUAUUCGAAAAUCAAUUCAAAGAGUUUUGGAUUCUAGUAUGUAAUUGACUUCAUCAGCUUACUGUACUUUUUCUUGCUCAUUAUUGAAUGCACUUUUCAGUUUAACAAGUCAACAUCAAUUUCUUUUGUUGUAAAAGGGUAAUAGGAAGGUGGCUUUCACUUCGGCUGCAAGGUGUUUAUAGCCUUUGAUCUCUACAAUCGGAGAGAUUGAGGUCUGCAGCGUAGAUCCUUCGGGGUUAGAUACAGUAGAUGCUAAGCUAUAGCCUUGUAUAGACAACUUGUUGACUAUGCUCAGUCAUGUAGCUUACUCGCUUAUGCUAUUUUACCUACGCUUAGGAUGUUGACAGCAGUAUAGACUGU
rnacentral:rRNA from 1 species